CAGCCGCCACGGGAAUACGUAGGUGGCAAGCGCUGUCCGGAAUUAUUGGGCGUAAAGCGCGCGCAGGCGGAUAGGUCAGUCUGUCUUAAAAGUUCGGGGCUUAACCCCGUGAUGGGAUGGAAACUGCCAAUCUAGAGUAUCGGAGAGGAAAGUGGAAUUCCUAGUGUAGCGGUGAAAUGCGUAGAUAUUAGGAAGAACACCAGUGGCGAAGGCGACUUUCUGGACGAAAACUGACGCUGAGGCGCGAAAGCCAGGGGAGCGAACGGGAUUAGAUACCCCGGUAGUCCCUGUCUCUUAUACA
rnacentral:rRNA from 1 species